UACGAAGGGGGCUAGCGUUGUUCGGAAUUACUGGGCGUAAAGGGCGCGUAGGCGGCGAUCCGAGUCAGAUGUGAAAGUCCUGGGCUUAACCUGGGGACUGCAUUUGAUACUGGAUUGCUUGAAUUCGGGAGAGGAUAGCGGAAUUCCCAGUGUAGAGGUGAAAUUCGUAGAUAUUGGGAAGAACACCGGUGGCGAAGGCGGCUAUCUGGACCGACAUUGACGCUGAGGCGCGAAAGCGUGGGGAGCAAACAGG
rnacentral:rRNA from 1 species